rnacentral:rRNA from 1 species
AGAGUUUGAUCCUGGCUCAGGAUGAACGCUAGCGGCAGGCCUAACACAUGCAAGUCGAACGGUAACAGAUCUUUCGGGAUGCUGACGAGUGGCGCACGGGUGCGUAACGCGUAUACAAUCUACCUCUAACUAGAGAAUAGCCCAGGGAAACUUGGAUUAAUACUCCAUAAUAUUAUUUUGCCUCAUGGUAUUAUAAUUAAAGCUUUUGCGGUUAGAGAUGAGUAUGCGUCCUAUUAGCUUGUUGGUGAGGUAACGGCUCACCAAGGCUACGAUAGGUAGGGGGUCUGAGAGGAUUAUCCCCCACACUGGUACUGAGACACGGACCAGACUCCUACGGGAGGCAGCAGUGAGGAAUAUUGGGCAAUGGACGAAAGUCUGACCCAGCCAUGCCGCGUGCAGGAUGACGGCCCUAUGGGUUGUAAACUGCUUUUAUAUGGGAAGAAACCCCUCUACGUGUAGAGGGCUGACGGUACCAUUUGAAUAAGCAUCGGCUAACUCCGUGCCAGCAGCCGCGGUAAUACGGAGGAUGCAAGCGUUAUCCGGAUUCAUUGGGUUUAAAGGGUCCGUAGGCGGACUUUUAAGUCAGAGGUGAAAGCCUGCAGCUCAACUGCAGAAUUGCCUUUGAUACUGGAAGUCUUGAGUAUAGUUGAAGAAGGCGGAAUACGUCAUGUAGCGGUGAAAUGCAUAGAUAUGACGUAGAACACCGAUUGCGAAGGCAGCUUUCUAAGCUAUAACUGACGCUGAGGGACGAAAGCGUGGGGAGCGAACAGGAUUAGAUACCCUGGUAGUCCACGCUGUAAACGAUGAUAACUCGCUGUUGGCGAUAAACAGUCAGCGGCUAAGCGAAAGCGUUAAGUUAUCCACCUGGGGAGUACGUUCGCAAGAAUGAAACUCAAAGGAAUUGACGGGGGCCCGCACAAGCGGUGGAGCAUGUGGUUUAAUUCGAUGAUACGCGAGGAACCUUACCAGGGCUUAAAUGCAGAGUGACCUUUCCGGAAACGGAGAUUCUCUUCGGAGCAAUUUGCAAGGUGCUGCAUGGUUGUCGUCAGCUCGUGCCGUGAGGUGUUAGGUUAAGUCCUGCAACGAGCGCAACCCCUAUCUUUAGUUGCCAGCGAUUCGGUCGGGGACUCUAAAGAGACUGCCAGCGCAAGCUGUGAGGAAGGUGGGGAUGACGUCAAAUCAUCACGGCCCUUACGUCCUGGGCUACACACGUGCUACAAUGGUAAAGACAGAGGGCAGCCACCUGGUGACAGGGAGCAAAUCCUUAAACUUUAUCUCAGUUCGGAUCGAAGUCUGCAACUCGACUUCGUGAAGCUGGAAUCGCUAGUAAUCGCGCAUCAGCCAUGGCGCGGUGAAUACGUUCCCGGGCCUUGUACACACCGCCCGUCAAGCCAUGGGAGUUGGGAGUGCCUGAAGUCGGUAACCGCAAGGAGCUGCCUAGGGUAAGACCAAUGACUGGGGCUAAGUCGAAACAAGGUA